UGACUCCUACAUGACCUUUGUUCUGAAUUU
rnacentral:piRNA from 1 species